UUACCAGGUCCGGACACAGGAAGGAUUGACAGAUUGAUAGCUCUUUCUUAAUUUCUGUGGGUGGUGGUGCAUGGCCGUUCUUAGUUCGUGGAACUGAUCUGUCAGCUUAAUUGCGUUAACGAACGAGACCUUUAAUUAUUAAUUAGUUAAAUAUAUAGUAAAAUAUAUACUUUAAAAAGAAAAAACAUUUUUUCUUUUCUUUGACCUCUUAAAAUAACAAUUGGUGAUUAACCAAAGUAAGUUAAAGGCAAUAACAGGUCUGUGAUGCCCUUUAGAUGUUCUGGGCUGCACGCGCGUUACACUGAAAAUAUCAAUAAGUUUUAUAUAUCAAAAAACAAAGAAAUCUUUUUUCUUUUUUUAAUUAAUUGUCCUUGUAUUGAAAAAUUUAGGGUUAAACGUUAGUAUAACUAAUUUUCGUUGAUGGGGAGU
rnacentral:rRNA from 1 species